AACUGCAAGUCGAACGCGAAAGUGGAGCAAUCCAUGAGUAGAGUGGCAAACGGGUGAGUAACACGUGGGUGACCUGCCUUCGAGCGGGGGAUAACGUCCCGAAAGGGACGCUAAUACCGCAUAACAUCCUGCCUUUUAAGAGGUGGCGAUCAAAGCCGGGGAUUCGCAAGAACCUGGCACUUGAAGAGGGGCCCGCGCCUGAUUAGCUAGUUGGUGGGGUAAUGGCUCACCAAGGCAACGAUCAGUAUCCGGCCUGAGAGGGCGGACGGACACACUGGGACUGAGACACGGCCCAGACUCCUACGGGAAGCAGCAGUGGGGAAUUGUUCGCAAUGGGCGCAAGCCUGACGACGCAACGCCGCGUGGAGGAUGAAGACCUUCGGGUCGUAAACUCCUUUCGAUCGAGACGAAUGGUUUCCGGGUGAACAAUCCGGAAAAGUGACGGUACCGAGAGAAGAAGCCCCGGCUAACUCCGUGCCAGCAGCCGCGGUAAUACGGGGGGGGCAAGCGUUGUUCGGAAUUACUGGGCGUAAAGGGCUCGUAGGUGGCCAACUAAGUCAGACGUGAAAUCCCUCAGCUUAACUGGGGAACUGCGUCUGAUACUGGAUGGCUUGAGUUUGGGAGAGGGAUGCGGAAUUCCAGGUGUAGCGGUGAAAUGCGUAGAUAUCUGGAGGAACACCGGUGGCGAAGGCGGCAUCCUGGACCAACACUGACACUGAGGAGCGAAAGCCAGGGGAGCAAACGGGAUUAGAUACCCCGGUAGUCCUGGCCCUAAACGAUGAAUGCUUGGUGUGGCGGGUAUCGAUCCCUGCCGUGCCGAAGCUAACGCAUUAAGCAUUCCGCCUGGGGAGUACGGUCGCAAGGCUG
rnacentral:rRNA from 1 species